AACAACAGCUGGAAACGGCUGCUAAUACCCCAUAGGCUGAGGAGCAAAAGGAGGAAUCCGCCCAAGGCGCGGCUCGCGUCUGAUUAGUUAGUUGGUGAGGCAAUGGCUUACCAAGGCGACGAUCAGUAGCUGGUCCGAGAGGAUGAUCAGCCCCACUGGGACUGAGACACGGCCCAGACUCCUACGGGAGGCAGCAGUGGGGAAUUUUCCGCAAUGGGCGAAAGCCUGACGGAGCAAUGCCGCGUGAAGUC
rnacentral:rRNA from 1 species